UGGGAUAACUCCGGGAAACCGGGGCUAAUACCGGAUAAUAUUUUGAACUGCAUAGUUCGAAAUUGAAAGGCGGCUUCGGCUGUCACUUAUGGAUGGACCCGCGUCGCAUUAGCUAGUUGGUGAGGUAACGGCUCACCAAGGCGACGAUGCGUAACCGACCUGAGAGGGUGAUCGGCCACACUGGGACUGAGACACGGCCCACACUCCUACGGGAGGCAGCAGUAGGGAAUCUUCCGCAAUGGACGAAAGUCUGACGGACCAACGCCGCGUGAGUGAUGAAGGCUUUCGGGUCGUAAAACUCUGUUGUUAGGGAAGAACAAGUGCUAGUUGAAUAAGCUGGCACCUUGACGGUACCUAACCAGAAAGCCACGGCUAACUACGUGCCAGCAGCCGCGGUAAUACGUAGGUGGCAAGCGUUAUCCGGAAUUAUUGGGCGUAAAGCGCGCGCAGGUGGUUUCUUAAGUCUGAUGUGAAAGCCCACGGCUCAACCGUGGAGGGUCAUUGGAAACUGGGAGACUUGAGUGCAAAAGAGGAGAGUGGCAUUCCAUGUGUAGCGGUGAAAUGCAUAUAGAUAUGGAGGAACACCAGUGGCGAAAGCUACUUUCUGGUCUGUAACUGACACUGAGGCGCGAAAGCGUGGGGAGCAAACAGGAUUACAUA
rnacentral:rRNA from 1 species